GGAGAUGUAGCUAAGUGUCACAGUGCUUGCCUGUCAAGCAUGAGGUCCUGAUUCAAAUCCUGGUACCCACA
rnacentral:tRNA from 1 species